rnacentral:rRNA from 1 species
AGAUUGAACGCUAGCGGGAUGCUUUACACAUGCAAGUCGAACGGCAGCGCGGACUUCGGUCUGGCGGCGAGUGGCGAACGGGUGAGUAAUAUAUCGGAACGUGCCCAGUAGCGGGGGAUAACUACGCGAAAGCGUGGCUAAUACCGCAUACGCCCGUACGGGGGAAAGGGGGGGAUUCGUUCGGAACCUCUCACUAUUGGAGCGGCCGAUAUCAGAUUAGCUAGUUGGUGAGGUAAAGCUCACCAAGGCGACGAUCUGUAGCUGGUUUGAGAGGACGACCAGCCACACUGGGACUGAGACACGGCCCAGACUCCGACGGAGCAGCAGGUGGGAAUUUGGACAAGUGGGGGAACCUGA